GCGCGAAAACUUUACAAUGCGGGAAACCGUGAUAAGGGAACUCCGAGUGCCCGUAAAAUCGGGCUGUCCAUCUGUUUAAAUAACAGGUGAAGAAAGGGCCGGGCAAGACCGGUGCCAGCCGCCGCGGUAAUACCGGCGGCUCGAGUGGUGGCCACUAUUACUGGGCUUAAAGCGUUCGUAGCUGGUCUGUUAAGUCUCUGGGGAAAUCUACUGGCUUAACCAAUAGGCGUCUCAGGGAUACUGGCAGACUAGGGACCGGGAGAGGUGAGAGGUACUCCAGGGGUAGGAGUGAAAUCCUGUAAUCCUUGGGGGACCACCUGUGGCGAAGGCGUCUCACCAGAACGGCUCCGACAGUGAGGGACGAAAGCUGGGGGAGCAAACCGGAUUAGAUACCCGGGUAGUCCCAGCCGUAAACGAUGCGCGUUAGGUGUAUCGGUGACCACGAGUCACCGAGGUGCCGAAGAGAAAUCGUGAAACGUGCCGCCUGGGAAGUACGGUCGCAAGGCUGAAACUUAAAGGAAUUGGCGGGGGA
rnacentral:rRNA from 1 species